rnacentral:misc_RNA from 1 species
GUUCCACUUUAGGACCACAACGCCAUCGACCACGACCGCUGAAAUUGCCGUUUAACUUCCAUUAAUAUUAAAAACACCGCAGGCGUUAUUGUCGAAUUUUAUAAGUUUAACGCUUAUAUGGGCGCUAUCAGUAUCAGGCGUCAGCUGUGUGCUCGCAAUAUCUAGUUUAAGUGUAUUAUCUAUGCGCAAUAUGGCGGCAUGGUGAAAACAUGUAGCUGUGGGGAUCAAUCGAAUACGAGAUAACAUUCACAAUUUGAAAUUGAGAGUUGUUUUUGGAACGAAGCUCGUUACGGCAGGCUUGACAUUUGGCUGGGCGACCGAACUGAAAAAAAUGCGAUACUAAAACUGUAAGAAAAAUAUAUAACGGAAGUGACGUAAUAUCAGUCACACGACUGUAUAAUAUGACGUUUGUAAAACUAAAAUAUUACUAGUAAACUUUUUUUAAUUAUUUAUGUAAUUUUAUACUGUCGACAAAAAUAAAUAAAGACAUAUGUUUUUUUAUUUCACUUAAUAGUUUGAAUUAUUAUUAUUAUUAUCAUUUUGUUUGAUUUAUUUCAUUU